CCACAUAAGUCAUAAUAUGAAAGCUUAGAGCAGCUACGGCCACAUUUGAGAAAGAAAAUCACAUGUUUUGUCGAAGAGAUAAGGUCGUCAGCAGUAUCAUUUUCCAGCAACUAAAUCAACUCACGAAAACAACAUUUAUGAUUUUCCUUUUUUCUAUUUACAACAGUCACCUUUUUUUCUUGGAAAAUACAUAAUGAAAUUAAACAAAGAUAAAUUCCAAUAUCAUUUUUCAACAAUACAUGUAUAUAUGUAUGUAUAAGGAAAAGAAGAUCAUAC
rnacentral:lncRNA from 1 species